UAUAAGGUGGUAAAGCAGCGCUCCGGGGGAGCGGGGCUGCAUGUUCCGGUGGAUCAAAGCAAGUUCGAAAUAACGCGGGUUCACCUAUAAUGCAAUAAGAUUUUUUCACUCCCGAGGACAGCAUUAUAUAGGGGCAGAGGUAUAUUUAUUUAGCACA